AGGCUCAUAUGAUAUCCCGCGGACUUGGGGUAUCGCAUGUCAAGGAAAAGGGUUAAGUCUUAGCCUAAAGCGAGGGAUCCUUUCGACCAUGAGGGUUUGUGACGAAAACAUGCUGCACAUGUGUGCCUUGACUCACAUGUGUGCGCAAGGAAGCGUGAGGGAAAAAGAUCCCGUAUAUGUGGGAUUCCUCUACCCAUGAGGAAGACUCCUCAUCCCAAACACUCAUUUCUUAAAUCGGUUUCAAGAGUCCUAAUUAAACUUGUAUAUGUGACCAGAAGAAGACAAGAUCAUGAAGACAAUUGAAGAAGAUUGCCAGAAAAAAACCUGCGAGAAGGCAUGUUUAAGAGGAAGAAGACUCCAACCG
rnacentral:lncRNA from 1 species